rnacentral:misc_RNA from 1 species
GCGGCGACCACGGUGGCG